GCCGCCGAGAGCUCGCCUCCCUCUCCCGCCCGGCGCCUCGGGAGGCGGUUUUCACCCCUUCAAAGAGCUCCGGUAGAUUAAGGGAUUUGGCGGGUUUGGGGUUUGUAUGGGCUUCUUUGCCCAGCUCCGGAAUCCUCAGCCAAGAAGCCGGCACUAGGGGAGGGCAGCUGAAGAAGCUGAUCAACAGCACUGAGGCCUGGACAAAGCUCGGGGAAACCUACGCUCUAGACCCACCUGCUCUCCUGCACUCCUUCCAGAACAGUCAGAUCUCCUGGCGUCAAGUCCAGGGGCCUGGGAUCCCUUGGGCGUCUCCACGAGGCUGACCAGGCACUGGGAAUUUGUGACUGACAUGGUCUUCUUUUCACUUGGGCUUUGGAAAAGCUUCAGGACAAAUUUGUGGCCCACCCCCAGGAAGUGAAUAGGGCAGCCCCAGAACCACUUUACCUUGAUUCCCAUCUCUGCUUUGUCUUCCCUUGUGGUUUUUCUUUCUCCUCUUAGUUCUCCUUAUUUUACCAUACACAAUCAAGAACAGGCAAGCAAAAAUAAACAAAAAUCGCCUGUAACCUCACUAUCCAGAGAUACCCACAAUUAUCAGUGUUGUCCUUUUAUGCAUAUUUAAAAAAAAUAAAAAUGAGAGGAUACCAUGCCUACCUUUUGGGGGGGCAUAGUGUUUUGUAACUUGCUUUUUUCGUUUUAUGUCACCAAUAUC